rnacentral:rRNA from 1 species
UACGUAGGGGGCAAGCGUUGUCCGGAAUUAUUGGGCGUAAAGAGCGCGUAGGCGGUCCGAUAAGUCGGCUGUGAAAGUCAGGGGCUCAACCCUUGAAAGCCGGCCGAUACUGUCGGACUAGAGUCCGGAAGAGGCAAGUGGAAUUCCCGGUGUAGCGGUGAAAUGCGCAGAUAUCGGGAGGAACACCAGUAGCGAAGGCGGCUCGCUGGGCCGUUCCUGACGCUGAGACGCGAAAGCUAGGGGAGCGAACAGG